rnacentral:tRNA from 1 species
GGCCCCGUAGUUCAACUGAAUAGAAUACUGGAUUUCGGCUCCAGCGGUUACAGGUUUGAAUCCUGUCGGGGUCACGA